AAGUAAUCCAUUAUUUCACUGUAUCGUUUUCUCAAAGAGUUGCUUCAAAUUGUAGAAACAAAGAGGGUAAAUUGGAAUCAAUUUUCGCCUUGUUGUGUAAGGUUUUCUUUUCGAUUUGAUUUGAUUUGAUUUUGAAUUUGAAUGUGUUCCACUUCCUCGUAUAUAACAAUUUUGAGUGAUGGUGACUACCUGGGUUUGAGUUAGACAAGCAAAAAGAAACCGGUCUGUCUAUCUAGUAUUCAGUACUAGUAAAAUAGAUGCAAUAUAAUUGCGAGGCGAUCGAGUUUUUUCUCUUAGCUAACUGUCAGACAACGAUGUAAAAGCUCCAUUUUGGGGUUUUAGAAGACACUAAUCAUCAGUGGAGUUAGUAAUUGGAAUUAUCAAUAUAUUUUAUUCUCAUAAAUUCUAGCAUUUUAUGGAUUCAACAUCUAGAGUUGAACAACCCGACCCAAACAUUGUCGGUAGCAGCGAAGGAGGUACAGGUACAUCAUCAGCAAGCGCUGUGACGGAGGGGGGACAGUCAACAACGGUGUCUGCAGCACCGCCAAGUCGAUACGAGUCACAGAAACGUCGAGAUUGGAAUACUUUUUUACAGUACUUAAGGAACCACAAACCGCCAUUAACCCUAGCCCGCUGCAGCGGAGCUCACGUGAUCGAGUUCCUUAAGUACCUUGAUCAAUUUGGGAAAACAAAAGUGCACGUGACCGGGUGCCCGUAUUUCGGGCACCCAAAUCCACCCGCACCUUGUGCGUGUCCGUUAAAACAGGCUUGGGGUAGCCUUGAUGCACUAAUUGGAAGGCUA
rnacentral:misc_RNA from 1 species